GCAUCGUUUACAGACGUUUCUGCUUGUCAAAAAUUAAUUCUUCAAAUAUUAUGAUACCUACUGUUUAAGUUCCAAUAGCUGGUACACAAUGUAAUGUCUAUGCGAGGUUCGGACCAAGCAAACCGCAUGACAGUUGCAAUAACAAAGUGAGGCUAUGUCAUCAUUAAUGUUAAUUUUCUAAGAAAAUAUGACGUUUAUAAUGACACUGCCACACUUUGUACUGUUCAAGUCAGUGCAAAGUUAGCUUAGUUUGGUCCUGUCUAAUUUAUUUGUCUAAAGUGCAUUGCGUCCAUUGAACGUAGUACAUUUAUGUCAAUGAUUGCGUCACACUUUGCCUCAUUAAUCAAAAUGUGAGAUGCAGAUACAAAUUGGACCAAAAAAUUGGACAGGUGGAAUAUCAUCCAUAGACGGACUGACGGUCGGGCAACAAUGGGGGCUUUGGCAAGUAAGUUUAUGCGUGUGCGCGGUCGGGCGCGCAAACAGGCGCGGCGUACGUAUUAAAUCGUGACCGUGACCCUCAACUCGAGGCACCAUCAGUCCCCGUCGGCAUUGAAUAAUUUUGUUAUUGUUUAUAUUCCUUUUAUUUACGCAUCAAGCUUACGGAAAACCCACUUAUCCCAUCGCUGCUAUAUUCAACUACCUGGAAAUACCUAGUGUUUACAAACUUUACAAACUUAUUUUUGCGGGUGUAAACGGCACGCAGGAAGAUUUGCCGCGAGCUAAAUGUAACGCGUUGAUAUAGUUCGGGAGUUGCCCGCUUGUAUAGAUGAGUUUGUGUUUUUUAUCUUCAUGAUUUUGGUUAUGUAGCUAUAUAGACAGUCUAGAUUAGCACUGCUAACGUCUGAGCUAUUUUGACCACGGCAGUCGUCAUUCGGAAGUUCGUGAAUAAGAAAGUGUUUUGAAAAGCGUUAUUAAAAAUUAUAUCUAUUCCGCAAAUACGGGAACAAUCAUGACAAUAUUAUCGGAUGUCAAAACGAAAGGAUUUGAUUUUUAGUUACUAAAACGCACAGAGCAAAAUACGAAAUAGCUGUGGAGAGUAUGAAAAAUAGAUUGAACACAACAAGAUGGAUGUCAGAAAUAUGAAAUUGCCAAGUUUAAGAAUGUGUUGUUUUUGCAUAUCUCUGAAGGCUGGUAUUUUGACAUGGGGAUACAUCAAUUUAAUUUACCAUGCCAUACUGUUUAUCAUAUUAUGCUCAGGAUUUCAAGACAUGCUCGUUGUGGCAAUGUUUUACAUCUAUGGAGGAGGGGAACGAAUU